CAGCAGGAGGGGUGGGAGCAGACGCCCUCCCUGCACUAAUGCUGUUCUCAGGUGGUUCCCACACCUGGGCCUCCCCAUUGCCUCUCAGCUUGCCUGCAGCAGGCAAAAAGCAGCUGGCUGCUUAUCCCCACCGGAGCACACAUUCAGAACCAUUUGUCAGCCUCGGAGUCUUCCCAAACCCAGCACUUGGGGGCAGGGGCAGGGGCGUAGGAAACCCAGCUGAUCUGCAAACAUACACAGAGCCUGCAGCCGGUCUUUCCUCUGCUCGCCCAGGUAGGAACCCUAGAGCCUUUGUGCUUGGAGGACUUGGAGAGGCUCCCUCCUCAGCUCCGUGUGUCCUGUGAGCAAAACUGCAAUCCAUGCAGGACCAAUGGAAGCUGGUCCAUCUCUUCUUGAAGCUGGCCCAGCUCUCUUUGUCCAUUACUUAUUUUACAUCCAGAAAACGUUCCCUUAUAUCUGAUUCUACUUCUUCAGGUCCCAUUCCCCAGAGAGGUGGAGAACACUGUCUCCAUCCUCACAAAUCUGGCCCCGACUCAGUCUCUUUUGUUCACUCUCUCUCCUGAACCCCUCUCCCCCAGGUAACUAACUCCCCCUUGUCGGUAGCCUUCCCUGGUCAGCUAGGGGCUGCCCAAAGGACUCCACUGGGGCCUGAAAGCUUUUCCUCACCUCCAGGGCAGAAGCGAAGGGCUGCCCAUAAAGUGGGGAGGCAUCCAGCCCCCACCUCCAGGCUUCCCGCAGCCUCACUGAGCGUCCACCCCGCUGAAACCCCUGUACGCCCCUGGCCUCAGGCGCAUUUCUGAGGGGCAGCUUUUAUCUUCCUCCCUUUAUCUCUUUGCUCUUUUGGUGGCCUUCCUGAGUCCCUCCUCGUCACCCCACUCAGGACACCAAGGAAUAAAGGUUCUAUCAAACCAUCUGGCUCAAGAUGCAUGCGAUGGAUAGCCUGCUCUCCCAGAACCAUUUAUGAAAUAGUUCAUCCUUUGCCACUGAAACCACAAGUGGUAAUGCAGUAUCCUGGGGCUAGAAAUGGCAGGGAACCAUCACUUUUCUUAGGCUGGAAAGAGAAAGGAGUGAGAGCAGAUGUGGAAACAUGGAAACUGGAGGGCCAAAAGGAAGGGCUCCUCUAUGGCAACUGACCUCAAGUAAGGAAUAGCCAACCUGCAGCCACGCUGCGGGACCACCGCUGGGGAACUAAGUGCACCAGCCCCACCUUCAAUCUCCCCCACAGUCUCCUGCUGAUGCUUCCUUUUGGCCAAACCCAAGUAGAAGCAAAGGGUGAGAGAGCUGUCAGUGUGGUCCCUCCAAGUCAGCCUCCUGGGACCUAGAGCAAUGAGGAGAUGGAGGAGGAGUGGAUAGCCGGAGGAGAACAUGGAAGGCGUUCAGCACAAAGACCCCAUCUUGUUAAGAAGUCCCUGCAUUUUAACUCUUACCAAUAGAAACUGACCUUUUUGUGAUACUGUAACUCUGCUUUUUCUGAUUUCUUACAUGUUUUUCUAAUAUAACUUAACAUAUGCAU
rnacentral:lncRNA from 1 species